rnacentral:rRNA from 1 species
CCUACGGGGGGCUGCAGUGGGGAAUAUUGGACAAUGGGGGCAACCCUGAUCCAGCCAUGCCGCGUGUGUGAAGAAGGCCCUCGGGUUGUAAAGCACUUUCAGUGAGGAAGAACGCCUGGUGGUUAAUACCCAUCAGGAAAGACAUCACUCACAGAAGAAGCACCGGCUAACUCCGUGCCAGCAGCCGCGGUAAUACGGAGGGUGCGAGCGUUAAUCGGAAUUACUGGGCGUAAAGCGCGCGUAGGUGGCUUGAUAAGCCGGUUGUGAAAGCCCCGGGCUCAACCUGGGAACGGCAUCCGGAACUGGCAAGCUAGAGUGCAGGAGAGGAAGGUAGAAUUCCCGGUGUAGCGGUGAAAUGCGUAGAGAUCGGGAGGAAUACCAGUGGCGAAGGCGGCCUUCUGGACUGACACUGACGCUGAGGUGCGAAAGCGUGGGUAGCAAACAGGAUUAGAUACCCUGGUAGUC